AUUGGACGCUGGCGGCAGGCCUAACACAUGCAAGUCGAGCGGAUGAAGGGAGCCUGCUCCUGGAUUCAGCGGCGGACGGGUGAGUAAUGCCUAGGAAUCUGCCUGGUAGUGGGGGAUAACGUCCGGAAACGGGCGCUAAUACCGCAUACGUCCUGAGGGAGAAAGUGGGGGAUCUUCGGACCUCACGCUAUCAGAUGAGCCUAGGUCGGAUUAGCUAGUUGGUGGGGUAAAGGCCUACCAAGGCGACGAUCCGUAACUGGUCUGAGAGGAUGAUCAGUCACACUGGAACUGAGACACGGUCCAGACUCCUACGGGAGGCAGCAGUGGGGAAUAUUGGACAAUGGGCGAAAGCCUGAUCCAGCCAUGCCGCGUGUGUGAAGAAGGUCUUCGGAUUGUAAAGCACUUUAAGUUGGGAGGAAGGGCAGUAAGUUAAUACCUUGCUGUUUUGACGUUACCAACAGAAUAAGCACCGGCUAACUUCGUG
rnacentral:rRNA from 1 species